AUGUCGGUUGUGGCCGUCUCCAGCCAGCCGCCCGGCGGGGCGGGAGCGAGGAGGGCGGAAAAGCCCGGGAGAGUCAGCGCCCGGGAGCCGCCGGUGAAGCGCCUGCGGAACUGGGCGCCGAGGGCGGCGGCGCGUCCCCGGGCAUCCUGCGGCUCGGGAUCCUCCGAAGACCGAGGCGCGGGCCCCUCCUGCAGUCCUGGGGACGACGAAACUCGGCCCCGACGUCCCGGCCUCCGAACGGCCUGCGGAGUCUCCCGCCGGCGCGCACUUCCAGCCGCAACCCCGCCCCGCAGCCCCAGGUCAGCUCCGCCGAGUAGGAAGCGCUCAGCUCUUCUUUUGUGUCAGGAGCACCCACGACGCCCCGGCCAUGCGAGCGGGGGCAGAGACGAGGGUCGUCGCUCCGUCCGCUACCCCGUCCCCCAGCACUGGGCGCUGAGCAGCCGGGAGGGGCGGAAAGGGCAGCAGGCUCCUUACUGACACCGGCGAGGGGAGGUCAGCUCGUCGCGGGGCGUGGCUCCCGUCCGGGGACCCCCGAGCUCAUCACGGGUGGCCGAGUGUAGCCAAGUUCAAGCUCUCCCUCCGGGAAUGCCUGCUGCGGCGGCGGAGCGCGGCUGCUUCAGGACUUUCAGCCAAGCCGGGAGGCGGGGACCUGCGGGCAGAGGAGCGACGCCCCAGCUGGGAACGCGGCGGGAGGGGGUGUGCCCUGGGCGCGCCAGGCCGCGGAGGCUCCGGGGAAAGUUCUCUUAGCUGCGCGAGGGGUGGCGCCCAGGGCGGAAGCAGCCCAGGUGCAUCUGGGCCCGGCCCAGGCGUCUGGAAAAGGCCCCGGAAAGAAGGGUUCCCCCCAGCCCAAGGAUGGCCGCGCAGGGGAGCCCCGGUCUGGGCGGGGUAUCAACUGGGGGGCGGAGGGCGGGACGGAGGUGGUCCCAGCCGCGAAGUGCGGCGGGUCCGCGCUCCCAAGCCGCGCGCUGCGCCGGAGCCGCUGGGCCGUCCUGUGCUCGUUGCGUCCGUUUCCCUGGGAGACCUGGAAGCUGGCUGGGGAGAGGAGGACGCGGUGCUGCUCGGACCCCACCGUACGGCGUUCCCAGUCCCACGCCCUCCGCGCGGUCGGCGGCAUGCAGGACUGAGGGGCACAAUAGCUCUGAAGCUGCAGUGACCCCUGGUGGGUCCUGAUGUCCGUACACAGACAGCCGAGGCUGAGCUGCGGAAGAGGCUGAGCCCCGCUGGGCUUCGGAGCAGGUGCAAUCAGUGCUCUCCAGCUGGGAACCAGCAGCGAGUUAAUGCGAGUCACAGUUGGGGGAGACACGAGGGGAGAUCUCCCAGAAAAAAAAAACUCUAUAUUGAGUUUAAGAGUUAGAGCUUUGGCAUCAGACGUAGUUUUGAGUUGACUAUUCUAUUACUUGUUAGCUGCGUAGCCAAAGCUCAAAAACUUGCUUAUAACCUCGGACGUUAGCGCUUAAAACAAAACUAGGCUUCCGUAGCACAGAAGAAAUUAAAUGAACAAUUGGCAACUUUGACGGAGUUUCCUCUCAUAGUGAUUUGCCACAAAGGACCUUCUGUAGGAAGCCUCGGCCUUCCCUGCUAUUGUGAUCCCAUCCGAACCAUGGAUCAGCACAGCCACCGAAGUGCAGUAUAAAGUUCUGAACUUUACCUAGGCUAUGAAUAAAACUCUAUUUUAUCUUCUGA